rnacentral:lncRNA from 1 species
AGUGAAAUUAGUAAACAUAAAUAAAUGUCUCUCCUCUUACUGAGGUUCUUUGAAUGAUAACUCAAGUAUGUACCUCAGCCACUGUUGGGACUGAUGUGGACAAACCUGUAGAGAGGAGGAAAGAGAGAGGGAACGAAGAAGGAAAUGUUGCAGAAAGGACGGGAAAGGUUCUGCAGAGCAGCACAUGAAACUACUGAUAUGGCCAAAAAAGUCUGAGAAAUAAGAAGCUAACAAAGUCAGAUGAGUUUCUUUAGUACAGGGUUUCUGAGAAACUUUAAAAUAUCAAAAUGCGCAGUGAAGGGACAGAUGAACCUCCUCUAAACAGCCCUACCACGCACUCUUCAAAUUUUCUCAGAUUUCCUGAUUCUCUUUUCCCAUUUUUUCAAAGUCCUUUCGCAAUGAGUUCUCCUCCACCUCACCAUCGUCUCACAGGAUGAAUGAAACAGCUUGAAAAGCUUGUCGUACUGAGAAAGUCCUGAGUUCUGAGGGUCAGCCCUCACCCCAUUCCCGGUUCUCCUCCGUACAUGAUGCUGGCAGGUUGCUUUACGUUCUCCCAGUCUCGAGUUCUAGUGUGUAAAUAAAGUGAUCACGUCAGCUAAGUCUCUAAGAUUACUUCCAGCUCAAGUAUUCCCAAUUCCACACAAGAAAACAAACAGAAAUAUACCGCUUCCUGAGAACAAAGCAUAUUUUUAUGCAGUCUACAUACAAAACAGGAAUCCACAUUUGUAUGAUGCCUUUGUAGUCUUGGAAGGAAUUUCUUCCAAUUUUUAGUCAAAUCAUAAAACCCUGAGAGGCGUCAAUAUUUACAGUUCUCUUUUUAUAAGUGAGGGGCUCUCCUAAGAGUCUUUCCUGACUCAGACAGUGUUCUCUUCAAAUUCGUCCUCCACGCACUAUCAAGAAAUGUUCCUCAAAUGAAAACGUACCCGUGUCAGUCUCUUAUCCAGGACCUUUCAAUGGCUCUCCGCAGCAUUCAAGCCCUACCACUCCGCACGGCCUUCCUCCUCGUCCUCCUAAGUUCCUGCUUCAGCAACCCACACCAAUCCUUUGUGACCUCACCCUCAUUGCCCUUCCUCCUCCCUUGCCUCCUCCUCUCCCCUCCCUUCCUCCUCCCUUUCCCUCCCCCCACAGGGGCAAACAGUGAAGUGUACAUGAAAUUGGAAUUGGAAGGAGAGAAAACUUCCGAUGGAGGAAGAACUCAGCAGGGAAAGAAUAAUCCAUGA